rnacentral:tRNA from 1 species
GCCUGGGUGGCUCAGUUGGUUGAGUGUCCGACUUCGGCUCAGGUCGUGAUCUCACAGUUCGUGGGUUUGAGCCCCGCAUCAGGCU